rnacentral:rRNA from 1 species
AUUGAACGCUGGCGGAAUGCUUUACACAUGCAAGUCGAACGGCAGCACGGACUUCGGUCUGGUGGCGAGUGGCGAACGGGUGAGUAACAUAUCGGAACGUAUCCAAUAAUGGGGGAUAACGAGUCGAAAGAUUCGCUAAUUCCGCAUACGCCCUACGGGGGAAAGCUGGGGACCUUCGGGCCUGGCGUUAAUGGAGCGGCUGAUAUCUGAUUAGCGAGUUGGUGAGGUAAAGGCUCACCAAGGCGACGAUCAGUAGCUGGUCUGAGAGGACGACCAGCCACACUGGAACUGAGACACGGUCCAGACUCCUACGGGAGGCAGCAGUGGGGAAUUUUGGACAAUGGGCGCAAGCCUGAUCCAGCCAUUCCGCGUGAGUGAAGAAGGCCUUCGGGUUGUAAAGCUCUUUCGCAAGGGAAGAAAACUUAGCCACUAACAUUGGUUGAGGUUGACGGUACCUUGAUAAGAAGCACCGGCCAACUACGUGCCAGCCGCCGCCGUAA